rnacentral:rRNA from 1 species
UACGUAGGGUGCGAGCGUUGUCCGGAAUUAUUGGGCGUAAAGAGCUCGUAGGCGGUGUGUCACGUCGUUCGUGAAAACCUGCAGCUUAACUGUGGGCGUGCGGUCGAUACGGGCAUCACUGGAGUUCGGCAGGGGAGACUGGAAUCCUGUGUAGCGGUGAAAUGCGCAGAUAUCAGGAGGAACACCGGUGGCGAAGGCGGGUCUCUGGGCCGAUACUGACGCUGAGGAGCGAAAGCAUGGGGAGCGAACAGG